UGGGGAAUAUUGCACAAUGGAGGGAACUCUGAUGCAGCGACGCCGCGUGAACGAAGAAGGCUUUCGAGUCGUAAAGUUCUUUUAUAUGGGAAGAUAAUGACGGUACCAUAAGAAAAAGCCCCGGCUAACUACGUGCCAGCAGCCGCGGUAAUACGUAGGGGGCUAGCGUUGUCCGGAAUCACUGGGCGUAAAGGGUUCGCAGGCGGAAAUGCAAGUCAGGUGUAAAAGGCAGUAGCUUAACUACUGUAAGCAUUUGAAACUGCAUAUCUUGAGAAGAGUAGAGGUAAGUGGAAUUUUUAGUGUAGCGGGGAAAUGCGUAGAUAUUAAAAAGAAUACCGGUGGCGAAGGCGACUUACUGGGCUCAUUCUGACGCUGAGGAACGAAAGCGUGGGUAGCAAACAGG
rnacentral:rRNA from 2 species